rnacentral:rRNA from 1 species
GUGCCAGCCGCCGCGGUAACACGAACCGGACAAACGUUAUUCGGAAUUAUUGGGCUUAAAGGGUGCGUAGGCGGUGUGGUAAGUGAGGUGUGAAAUCCCUCGGCUCAACCGAGGAAUUGCGCUUCAUACUGCCAUGCUAGAGGGAGACAGGGGUAAGCGGAACUGAUGGUGGAGCGGUGAAAUGCGUUGAUAUCAUCAGGAACACCGGUGGCGAAAGCGGCUUACUGGGUCUUCUCUGACGCUGAGGCACGAAAGCUAGGGUAGCGAACGGGAUUAGAAACCCCGGUAGUCC